rnacentral:rRNA from 1 species
CAGUCGUACCUUCGGGUAAUCAGCCUUUCGGGUGCGAUUCUGUGGAGUGUGAGGAGUUAAACACCUUCAUGUUUUGCAUAUUCGUACUCUUGGGUGUACUUGCCCGUGUGGUUGGUUAACAUCAAUUUUGGUGGUCAUAAAAUGACUGGAGGAAUGUAGCUUCGAUCUCGUAUUGAAGUGUUAUAGCCUUCGGUAGAUGUGAUGAUCGAGAUUGAGGAUUGCAACGGAUACCCUUCGGGGCUACCUGUCUGGUCUCUGAUCGUUGCUCUGGUGCCGAAAGCAUGCUUACGGUUAUCAAAGUCGAUGGUCAAUAGGUUAGAACGGGUUAAAUUCGUUAAGGAUGUUGACGUAAUGGCUUUAAACGA